GAGAUAUGAUGAGGUUCUAAUUGGUCCGUGUUUCUGAUUUAACCGUGAGCGACAUUUUUUAACCAAACUCUGAUCUC